UUGAGCGGAGAUAUAUGGAGCUUGCUUUAUAUAACUUAGCAGCGAACGGGUGAGUAACACGUAGAUAAUCUAUCCUAUACUGGGGGAUAGCCCGAUGAAAGUUGGAUUAAUACCGCAUAUAGCUAUAUAGUUGCAUGAUUAUGUAGUGAAAGAUUUAUUGGUAUAGGAGGAGUCUGCGGCACAUUAGCUAGUAGGUGAGGUAAAGGCUUACCUAGGCGACGAUGUGUAGCCGGUCUGAGAGGAUGAACGGCCACAAUGGAACUGAGACACGGUCCAUACUCCUACGGGAGGCAGCAGUGGGGAAUAUUGCACAAUGGGGGAAACCCUGAUGCAGCAACGCCGCGUGAGUGAAGAAGGUUUUCGGAUUGUAAAGCUCUGUUAGCAGGGAAGAGGAAGGACGGUACCUGCAGAGGAAGCCACGGCUAACUACGUGCCAGCAGCCGCGGUAAUACGUAGGUGGCAAGCGUUGUUCGGAAUAACUGGGCGUAAAGGAUGCGUAGGCGGUUAAACAAGUUAUACGUUAAAUAUAUAGGCUUAACCUGUAGAAAGCAUAUAAAACUGUUUAACUAGAGUGCAGGAGAGGUAAGUGGAAUUCCUAGUGUAGCGGUGAAAUGCGUAGAGAUUAGGAAGAACACCAGUGGCGAAGGCGACUUACUGGACUGUAACUGACGCUGAGGCAUGAGAGCAUGGGGAGCAAACAGGAUUAGAUACCCUGGUAGUCCAUGCUGUAAACGAUGGGUACUAGGUGUGGGUUGUGAAUAACA
rnacentral:rRNA from 1 species